CCUGUCGCGCUUCUUUUUUUUUGGAGUCCGUUGCAAUUUUAAUGAACUAGGCCUAUGCAGCAGCUAUUCCGGAGGUCACCUGCUGCUGCUCGACAUUUAUGUCAAAAGAUGGACAAACUGGACGAGGUUGCAAUCGCCACACUCAGAGCUGCUAAUAUUGGAGAAGACUUACUCCCCUCGCUUUCCCGAGACGACAUCAAAGACCUCUUUCCUGGUCCUGAAAAUUUCUUGAGGCGGCGGGCUAUAUGGCUUUUUUGUAAAUAAAGAUGAAAAGGUGGAUACUGCUCCCGAAAUUCAGCAAUCACCCCCCACUGGAGGCAGUGACUUUUCAAAAGAGGAGGCCAAUACUUCUAAAUGUGUGACUAUGUCAAACCCAGAAUACAUAGUCUUCACAGACAGUGAGCUUGAACAGGUGCGACGCUCCUACUUUGAACAGAAACGGCUGGGGACCGAGCACAAUGUGACCCUAUCCAAGGAGCUCUUCUGCCGACUCAUAAGAAACACUAUGAAUAACAUGAUCUCCAUCGCAAGAGCCAUAGAGGACUCCAGAUACCCCACCAAACAUGAGGUGAAUGCCAUGGCAAAGCAACUGGUGGAUUACUAUCCAAUGAUAAAAGACGGGUCAUCAAACAAUGAGUGGGAGCAUGUUGCCAAAAAGCUCAUGAAGAGACUCUCAAAUGUCAGAAGUCCAAAGAAGGCCAAAGGUCCUCCUUCCAAGAAACCACGACAAGAAGUCAGUUCAGAUGUUGCAACUACUGACUAUGACGAAGAUUCCAGUACAUCCACCAUUAUUCUGGAAUGGUCACCUGUUAGUCCCAUGGGCAUCCCAGUAGAUCUGUCACCUAGAACCAGCACCCCAGCGCAGAACAACAAUGGUGAAGAUUCUUGUUCAGUUGACAUCAUGGACAGCCAGAAAAUCCAAGCAAGACACUACAAGACCCUCCAAGAAAUGUACACGUCCAAAAAGCCAAACAAAGCUGCGGUAACUCAUUUGCUGAACAUGGAAUUUUAGUCUCGAAGACGCUUCAUCACCUCUGAUGUUUUAAAGGAGCAAGACAGAGCAACAAAGAUUCUAGAGGCUUACCCUUGUUUCAGAGAACUGGAUCAUGUGUUGGAUGAGCUGCAGCGAAUCAUCCAACCGACCAACUCCCAGUCCUAGCGACUUCCGAGGAUCCUAAUGGUUUCAUGCAGCAGCGACCCCU